rfam:Oryza rufipogon genomic scaffold, chr09
AAGCUAGAUGAUGACGAUGUCAUCUCAUAUAUCCUUGCAGGGCUAGAUGCAGAUUAUAAUCCUCUUGUCGCAUCAGUUUCUGCUAAAGAUUAUGUGUCAUUGAGUGAUCUAUAUGCACAACUACUCUCGUUCGAGG